rnacentral:rRNA from 1 species
AGCGAACGCUGGCGGCAGGCCUAACACAUGCAAGUCGAACGGGCCCCUUCGGGGGUCAGUGGCAGACGGGUGAGUAACACGUGGGAACGUACCUUCCGGUUCGGGAUAGCCCGGGGAAACUCGGGCUAAUACCGGAUACGCCUUUCGAGGGAAAGAUUUAUUGCCGAGAGAUCGGCCCGCGUCUGAUUAGCUAGUUGGUGAGGUAACGGCUCACCAACGCGACGAUCAGUAGCUGGUCUGAGAGGAUGAUCAGCCACUGGGACUGAGACACGGCCCAGACUCCUACGGGAGGCAGCAGUGGGGAAUAUUGGACAAUGGGCGAAAGCCUGAUCCAGCCAUGCCGCGUGAGUGAUGAAGGCCCUAGGGUUGUAAAGCUCUUUCGGCGGGGACGAUAAUGACGGUACCCGCAGAAGAAGCCCCGGCUAACUUCGUGCCAGCAGCCGCAGUAA